UCGACCCCUGCUGCUCAUAAUGAAGAACAACAGAAAAUCCAGGGCAUGAAGGCUAAAGAAAAGAAGUACCACAAGGUGCUCUUAAUUCAUAUAUAUUAUAUAUAUAUAUAUAUAUAUAUUAGUUAAGUUAUAUUUAUUAAACUAUAUAAGACAUAUUCGUUUAUUUUGUUUUCUUGUUUUUGCUACCUUCUUUUUUCUCUUAUUGGCUUAUCUUACCCUAUAAAAAAAUAUAUUUUUUGCAGCACAUUCCUAUAGACAAAGUAGUACAGAUGGUGCAAGCUGACCAUGAAGAGGACACUUUUGGUAUUAUAUGAAGCAUACUAAGAAAAAUUCCAUUGCAAUUUUAACAUUUGAAUGCUUUUAACUUUAUUUUGUUUCUUUGUGUAAAAGAUAACAGCAUAGUCCCAGACUCCCAACCUGUGAGAAAGGGAAGCUCAUUGUGAGUGUAUUAUUAUUAGCAUUUUGAUUAACAUUUCCUAAUUGUUUGACAUUACGUCUAUUUUAGAGAGGACUCUGUCUGCUCACAAUAUAAUGUAUGCUUGGAUGUCUAUCUUCUACAUUUUACUGAUCAGUUCACCUGCUAUCUGGAGCUUGAACUCUAGUAAAAGGAGAAUCUCUGUAUCUGGAUCACUGCUGGCUCUGCAAAAAGAUUGCUCUAAAAACUGCACUAUAUCAGAUGGUAGUUCUCAUCCCCCUCCUCAGCGUCUGUCCCCAGCACAGUGUGCAUCCAGAGCCCUGACCCAGAAGCAGCUGCACACCCAGCUCACUCAGAGAUUGGAGGAGGUGGUGAGGGAGCAGCAGGGUACAGACGGCCGUACAGCCCAGAGAGGCUCAUCACUGGAGCCCAGAACUGCAGGUCAAGAAAAGGAGAAUAUGGAGAAGUCAGUGAAGUCCAUGCCUGCUAGACCUGCACAGGAGAGAAGGAAGAGUAGUGAAGUUCAUGCCGACACAUCAGACCAGGACAAUAUGGCACAUGCUGCAGAUGGUGUGGUGAAAAUGAUAUCCAGUCAUUAUAAGAGAACUGAAAAAGUAGCGUCCCAUGAACCUGGAGGCCUGUGUAAUAUCGGGUCUAAAAACAGGUGACACACUGACCUUUCAUUCAUGCCCUGCCUUUUCCACUGUCCUCACAUUGAAUAACACUCUUACCUUCACUUUCAGAUAUCUGCUCAAUAAGAGCUGCUGUCCAUCCUCCACUGUAAGUCAUUUAGAAAGAAAACAGUAUGUGUAAUGUUAAAUCAAUACAUCUACCCUGUUGAAAAACAGCAUAUGCUGGUUAGGGAUGUUUUGAAGCAUGGCAGCUGGUUAUAAGCUGAUCCUGAGCAGGAUCUAGUUGCUUAAGGCCAGCACAAGACCAACAAAGGACCAGCUUAAACCAGCUCAAACCAGCUGCCAUGCUUUAAAACAUACCUUACCAGCAUAUGCUGUUUUUUUUUUUCAUCAGGGUAGUUACAAAUGUGAUGCAAACUUACAAUUUUUUUCCCUUACACAUUGUGUUACAGGAUAAAACUGCUGCCAAGAGUUCAAGUUUGUACAAAACACAAGACAAAGCCAAGAAGGAGUUCCAGCUGCUUGAGUAUUGCAUUCUACUGACUUCAAUCCCUUAAACUCGGGAUAUUUAGUUUGAAAAUAUAUUUUAUAAAUCACUGAAUUUAUUGUGUUUGGUCUCCUCAGGGAUGUUUAUGCAUUUACAGAAGACAAGGCAAAAAUUAGUGUGGUAAGGACACCAGUAGCUCUGAAUGGAAACAUCAUAACAUUUAUAAUAUUUAAAAACAUGAUAAUAAACUUCAUUAGUUCUUAAUUUUGUCCUCUUUAGAGAAAGAAAUCCUCUGACACAUCCAGAGUGGAAAGCAGGUAACUCUGUUAAUUUAUAAGAACAGCCCCCUCUAGUGUUGAACAAUACAAUAAUACUCAGUUAGAAUCUCUCCAAAGAAAUCCUGCAUUUGUGAACAUG
rnacentral:lncRNA from 1 species